rnacentral:rRNA from 1 species
CGUAGGGUGCGAGCGUUAAUCGGAAUUACUGGGCGUAAAGCGUGCGCAGGCGGUUUUGUAAGACAGGCGUGAAAUCCCCGGGCUCAACCUGGGAACUGCGCUUGUGACUGCAAGGCUAGAGUACGGCAGAGGGGGUGGAAUUCCACGUGUAGCAGUGAAAUGCGUAGAGAUGUGGAGGAACACCAACUGGCGAAGGCAGCCCCCUGGGUCGAUACUGACGCUCAUGCACGAAAGCGUGGGUAGCAAACAGGAUUAGAUACCCUGGUAGUCCACGCCCUAAACGAUGUCAACUAGGUGUUGGGUGGGUAAAACCAUUUAGUACCGGAGCUAACGCGUGAAGUUGACCGCCUGGGGAGUACGGCCGCAAGGUUA